rnacentral:rRNA from 1 species
AUUGAACGCUGGCGGAAUGCUUUACACAUGCAAGUCGAACGGUAACAGGGUGCUUGCACCGCUGACGAGUGGCGAACGGGUGAGUAAUGCGUCGGAACGUGCCGAGUAGUGGGGGAUAACGCAGCGAAAGUUGUGCUAAUACCGCAUACGUACUGAGGUAGAAAGUGGGGGACCUUCGGGCCUCACGCUAUUCGAGCGGCCGACGUCUGAUUAGCUAGUAGGUGAGGUAAAGGCUCACCUAGGCGACGAUCAGUAGCGGGUCUGAGAGGAUGAUCCGCCACACUGGGACUGAGACACGGCCCAGACUCCUACGGGAGGCAGCAGUGGGGAAUUUUGGACAACGGGCGAAAGCCUGAUCCAGCCAUGCCGCGUGUCUGAAGAAGGCCCUCGGGUUGUAAAGGACUUUUGUCAGGGAGGAAAUCCCUAGUGCUAAUAACACUGGGGGAUGACAGUACCUGAAGAAUAAGCACCGGCUAACUACGUGCCAGCCGCCGCAGUAA